rnacentral:tRNA from 1 species
GGUUGUGGCUCAGUGGUAGAGCACUUGCCUAGAACACAUGAGGCCCUGGGUUCAAUCCUCAGCACCA